CCUACGGGUGGCAGCAGUGAGGAAUAUUGGUCAAUGGGCGUAAGCCUGAACCAGCCAAGUCGCGUGAGGGAUGAAGGUUCUAUGGAUCGUAAACCUCUUUUAUAAGGGAAUAAAGUGUGGGACGUGUCCUAUUUUGUAUGUACCUUAUGAAUAAGGAUCGGCUAACCCCGUGCCAGCAGCCGCGGUACUACGGAGGAUCCGAGCGUUAACCGGAUUUAUUGGGUUUAACGGGUGCGUAGGCGGCCUUUUAAGUCAGCGGUGAAAGUCUGUGGCUCAACAAUAGAAUUGCCGUGGAGACUGGGGGGCUUGAGUUUGUUUGAGGCAGGCGGAAGGCGAGGUGUAGCGGUGAAAUGCGUAGAUA
rnacentral:rRNA from 1 species